rnacentral:rRNA from 1 species
GAUGAACGCUGGCGGCGUGCCUAAUACAUGCAAGUCGAGCGAACAGACGAGGAGCUUGCUCCUCUGACGUUAGCGGCGGACGGGUGAGUAACACGUGGAUAACCCACCUAUAAGACUGGGAUAACUUCGGGAAACCGGAGCUAAUACCGGAUAAUAUAUUGAACCGCAUGGUUCAAUAGUGAAAGACGGUUUUGCUGUCACUUAUAGAUGGAUCCGCGCCGCAUUAGCUAGUUGGUAAGGUAACGGCUUACCAAGGCAACGAUGCGUAGCCGACCUGAGAGCGUGAUCGGCCACACUGGAACUGAGACACGGUCCAGACUCCUACGGGAGGCAGCAGUAGGGAAUCUUCCGCAAUGGGCGAAAGCUUGACGGAGCAACGCCGCGUGAGUCAUGAAGGUCUUCGGAUCGUAAAACUCUGUUAUUAGGGAAGAACAAAUGUGUAAGUACCUAUGCACGUCUUGACGGUACCUAAUCAGAAAGCCACGGCUAACUACGUG